rnacentral:lncRNA from 1 species
UUGAUUUUAAACAGCGGUUGACAUGCUUCGAAGUACGGUAAUGGAAUAUUUAGAAAUGUUUUGUCACGAAACACGUCGGGCGCGUGACCCUUAUUUACCCUUCGGGUUGUGUCUUGAACGCACAAACAAAACGCCGCUAUUUGGAUAUAACUAUGGAUUAUUUGGGACCAAACCAACAUUUGUUAUUGAAGUAGAAGUCCUGGGAGUGCAUUCUGACGAAGAACACCAAAGUGUUCCAGUGUUCUUUUUGAACACCAACUCCGCUGCACCUUGGUCUUCUUCUCUCCAUGACGACAGCCCUUACAGAAUUACCCACCACAAAAGGACCAAGCAGCGGAGGAGGAAGGAGCCACAGGAGAACAGCGUGAUGGACUGGAC